rnacentral:rRNA from 1 species
GCGGCGAACGGGUGAUUAACGCGUAGAUACUUAUUCUUAGUGGAAGAUAGCCAGUCGAAAGAUUGGGUAAUACUCCAUGUGAUUGAAAAAUCAAAGCCGUAAGGCGCUAAACAAAAGGUCUGCGUCCCAUCAGCUAGUUGGUAGGGUAAUGGCCUACCAAGGCUAAGACGGGUAGCUGGUCUGAGAGGAUGAUCAGCCACACUGGAACUGCGACACGGUCCAGACACCUACGGGUGGCAGCAGUGAGGAAUUUUCGGCAAUGGGGGAAACCCUGACCGAGCUAUGCCGCGUGUCGGAUGAAGGCCUAUGGGUUGUAAACGACUGUGGUAGUCUACUAAUAAAAUGACCAGACUACUAGAAAGAGGUUGCUAACUCUGUGCCAGCAGCAGCGGUAAUACAGAGACCUCAAGCGUUAUCCGGUUUCACUGGGCGUACAGCGUUCCGAAGGCUGUCAAAUGUGUCUAAAGUGAAAGACUGAAGCUCAACUUCACG